GUGUUUCUGUGGACACUAGAUAAUCUGACUAACACACACACCUGUUUGACCUUGCUGUGACACUGUAGGACAUUUAUGUUACUUUUCUGAGUCAAUUCAGGUAGCAUUCAAUAUCCUGCAUGCAUUUUUUUAAACCAUGGCAACCAGCAUUGCAAAUAAAGAGAUGUGCAUAAAUAUAAUCAUCCUCUGUCUGUAGAUCCUUUCCCCUUAAUGUAUUUGUCAUGUCAGCCAGGCCAAUCUUUUCAAAGUAACAAUAGCUAGUUGAGUAAAAUAAGGAGUCUAUUGCUUCAUUCCUUGUUUCGUUUUUACUUGUUACCUGGUAAAUAACCAACAACCAUCGUGAGGAAACCGUCCAUGUAAGGUGAGGAAACCGUCCAUGUAAGGUGAGGAAACAGUCCAUGUAAGGUGAGGAAACCGUCCAUGUAAGGUGAGGAAACCGUCCAUGUAAGGUGAGGAAACAGUCCAUGUAAGGUGAGGAAACAGUCCAUGUAAGGUGAGGAAACAGUCCAUGUAAGGUGAGGAAACAGUCCAUGUAAGGUGAGGAAACCGUCCAUGUAAGGUGAGGAAACAGUCCAUGUAAGGUGAGGAAACAGUCCAUGUAAGGUGAGGAAACAGUCCAUGUAAGGUGAGGAAACAGUCCAUGUAAGGUGAGGAAACAGUCCAUGUAAGGUGAGGAAACAGUCCAUGUAAGGUGAGGAAACAGUCCAUGUAAGGUGAGGAAACAGUCCAUGUAAGGUGAGGAAACAGUCCAUGUAAGGUGAGGAAACAGUCCAUGUAAGGUGAGGAAACAGUCCAUGUAAGGUGAGGAAACAGUCCAUGUAAGGUGAGGAAACAGUCCAUGUAAGGUGAGGA